rnacentral:lncRNA from 1 species
AAACUGUUGGGUCCUUGAAAAGAUCAAUAUGAAACAAAUUCGAUCAUGUAACAAAAGUUGUUGGCAAAUCCUUUUAGCAGAAAAAAGAAUAGUGCGACUGAUAGUGAUCUCCGAGUACUCAUAUUUUCUUGGUAAAGUGAUAGUAAAAGUCACAUGGACAUCACUGACCUUCUUGUUAUUUGGGGGGGGGGGGGGGGGGGGGGGGUGUAUGACCCAAUCAUUCCCUUGAGCUAUCUAUACAAGUCUGUACCUGAAUUGUUAUUGCUCGGCCGAGUCUUAUGGCAUACCUUUUGUUCUCCCCACUACACCCUGCAAAAGAACAUAUCACGGAUUUGGUUGCUAUCUCAUCUUUAUACACCUGCAAGAUAUCCUUGUCUAUGGCCAUGUGCAGCUCUACUUUUGUGCCAGAGAUUCUUGUUUCCCUGAUCAAGAUCAAAGGGCCAGCGAAUAUGUUAACUAUUUCUUUAGUGUGGUGGUGCAAUAUUUUGUUAAAAUAAAAUGAUUUUAUAGUUUUUCACGUUUUGUUCUCUCCUAUAAAUGCGUGUCUAGUUUAAUUGGUUUUAGAUACGGAAAACUCUAGUUUCAUUGUAUGCUAUCUUUUGCACUGUGAAAUACUUGACAUUAGCCUUUUACAUCCUUGCAGUUUGUGCUGCAAGCGAGCAGAACUGACAUGUUUCAGCUAUGCUGCAUUUCCCACCCAUGACAAGUAGUAGCUGAUAGCCAGCUAGUCCAUGUUCUUCAGA